rnacentral:rRNA from 1 species
GAUGAACGCUGGCGGCGUGCCUAAUACAUGCAAGUCGAGCGAACAGACGAGGAGCUUGCUCCUCUGACGUUAGCGGCGGACGGGUGAGUAACACGUGGAUAACCUACCUAUAAGACUGGGAUAACUUCGGGAAACCGGAGCUAAUACCGGAUAAUAUAUUGAACCGCAUGGUUCACUAGUGAAAGACGGUUUUGCUGUCACUUAUAGAUGGAUCCGCGCCGCAUUCGCUAGUUGGUAAGGUAACGGCUUACCAAGGCAACGAUGCGUAGCCGACCUGAGAGGGUGAUCGGCCACACUGGAACUGAGACACGGUCCAGACUCCUACGGGAGGCAGCAGUAGGGAAUCUUCCGCAAUGGGCGAAAGCCUGACGGAGCAACGCCGCGUGAGUGAUGAAGGUCUUCGGAUCGUAAAACUCUGUUAUUAGGGAAGAACAAAUGUGUAAGUAACUAUGCACGUCUUGACGGUACCUAAUCAGAAAGCCACGGCUAACUACGUG